UGCAGUCGAGCGGAACGAGUUAUCUGAACCUUCGGGGAACGAUAACGGCGUCGAGCGGCGGACGGGUGAGUAAUGCCUAGGAAAUUGCCCUGAUGUGGGGGAUAACCAUUGGAAACGAUGGCUAAUACCGCAUGAUGCCUACGGGCCAAAGAGGGGGACCUUCGGGCCUCUCGCGUCAGGAUAUGCCUAGGUGGGAUUAGCUAGUUGGUGAGGUAAGGGCUCACCAAGGCGACGAUCCCUAGCUGGUCUGAGAGGAUGAUCAGCCACACUGGAACUGAGACACGGUCCAGACUCCUACGGGAGGCAGCAGUGGGGAAUAUUGCACAAUGGGCGCAAGCCUGAUGCAGCCAUGCCGCGUGUGUGAAGAAGGCCUUCGGGUUGUAAAGCACUUUCAGUCGUGAGGAAGGUAGUGUAGUUAAUAGCUGCAUUAUUUGACGUUAGCGACAGAAGAAGCACCGGCUAACUCCGUGCCAGCAGCCGCGGUAAUACGGAGGGUGCGAGCGUUAAUCGGAAUUACUGGGCGUAAAGCGCAUGCAGGUGGUUUGUUAAGUCAGAUGUGAAAGCCCGGGGCUCAACCUCGGAAUAGCAUUUGAAACUGGCAGACUAGAGUACUGUAGAGGGGGGUAGAAUUUCAGGUGUAGCGGUGAAAUGCGUAGAGAUCUGAAGGAAUACCGGUGGCGAAGGCGGCCCCCUGGACAGAUACUGACACUCAGAUGCGAAAGCGUGGGGAGCAAACA
rnacentral:rRNA from 1 species